rnacentral:rRNA from 1 species
UACGUAGGGGGCAAGCGUUGUCCGGAAUCAUUGGGCGUAAAGCGCGUGUAGGCGGCCCGAUAAGUCCGCUGUAAAAGUCCAGGGCUCAACCCUGGAAAGCCGGUGGAUACUGUCGGGCUCGAGUCCGGAAGAGGCGAGUGGAAUUCCUGGUGUAGCGGUGAAAUGCGCAGAGAUCAGGAGGAACACCGAUGGCGAAGGCAGCUCGCUGGGACGGUACUGACGCUGAGACGCGAAAGCGUGGGGAGCGAACAGG